rnacentral:rRNA from 1 species
GACGAACGCUGGCGGCGUGCUUAACACAUGCAAGUCACGGGGGCCCGCAAGGGCAACCGGCGAACGGGUGCGUAACACGUGAGCAACCUGCCUAUCUGCGGGGGAUAGCCGGCCCAACGGCCGGGUAAUACCGCAUACGUUCACGAGGGGACAUCCCCUUGUGAGGAAAACUCCGGUGCAGAUAGAGGGGCUCGCGGCCUAUCAGCUAGUUGGUGAGGUAACGGCUCACCAAGGCGACGACGGGAGCUGGUCUGAGAGGGCGACCGGCCACACUGGACUGAGACACGGCCCAGACUCCUACGGGAGGCAGCAGUGGGGAAUCUUGCGCAAUGGGCGAAAGCCUGACGCAGCGACGCCGCGUGAGGAUGAC